rnacentral:rRNA from 1 species
UACGGGGGGAGCAAGCGUUGUUCGGAUUUACUGGGCGUAAAGGGCGCGUAGGCGGCCACCGCAAGUCGACUGUGAAAUCUCCGGGCUUAACCCGGAAAGGUCAGCCGAUACUGCGGGGCUAGAGUGCAGAAGGGGCAACUGGAAUUCUCGGUGUAGCGGUGAAAUGCGUAGAUAUCGAGAGGAACACCUGCGGCGAAGGCGGGUUGCUGGGCUGACACUGACGCUGAGGCGCGGAAGCUAGGGGAGCGAACGGG